rnacentral:rRNA from 1 species
GACGAACGCUGGCGGCGUGCUUAACACAUGCAAGUCGAACGGGUUUUAGUAAACGGAAGCCUCGGUGGAAGAUUACUAAUGAGAGUGGCGAACGGGUGAGUAACGCGUGAGCAACCUGCCUAUGACAGUGGGAUAGCCUCGGGAAACCGGGAUUAAUACCGCAUAAAAUCGUAGAAACACAUGUUUCAACGGUCAAAGAUUUAUCGGUCAUAGAUGGGCUCGCGUCUGAUUAGCUAGUUGGUGAGAUAACAGCCCACCAAGGCGACGAUCAGUAGCCGGUCUGAGAGGAUGAACGGCCACAUUGGAACUGAGACACGGUCCAAACUCCUACGGGAGGCAGCAGUGGGGAAUUUUGCACAAUGGGGGAAACCCUGAUGCAGCGACGCCGCGUGAACGAAGAAGGUAUUCGUAUCGUAAAGUUCUGUCCUAUGGGAAGAUAAUGACAGUACCAUAGAAGAAAGCUCCGGCUAAAUACGUG